AAGACUUGACAUACACGCGGAAACGGCCAGAGAUGGUCAGCCCCUUUGUGGUCGGUGUACAGGUGGUGCAUGGCUGUCGUCAGCUGGUGUCGUGAGACGUUGGGUUAAGUCCCGCAACGAGCGCAACCCUUGUCCCGUGUUGCCAGCAAGCCCCUUCGGGGGUGUUGGGGACUCACGGGAGACCGCCGGGGUCAACUCGGAGGAAGGUGGGGACGACGUCAAGUCAUCAUGCCCCUUAUGUCUUGGGCUGCACACGUGCUACAAUGGCCGGUACAAUGAGCUGCGAUACCGCAAGGUGGAGCGAAUCUCAAAAAGCCGGUCUCAGUUCGGAUUGGGGUCUGCAACUCGACCCCAUGAAGUCGGAGUCGCUAGUAAUCGCAGAUCAGCAUUGCUGCGGUGAAUACGUUCCCGGGCCUUGUACACACCGCCCGUCACGUCACGAAAGUCGGUAACACCCGAAGCCGGUGGCCCAACCCCUUGUGGGAGGGAGCUGUCGAAGGUGGGACUGGCGAU
rnacentral:rRNA from 1 species